rnacentral:lncRNA from 1 species
GCUUGGGUCACGUGAUCAUGGUAAGUGUCAAGUAAAACAUAAGAUGUCCCCACAUGCUAUAUUUAGUUUUGUUAAUAUUAAGAUAAAAAUAGUUCUUAAAAACCAUAUUAAAAAAGAAAAUAAAUAAAAUAACUAUAUUCAAAAAUUUUAAUUAAAAAAAUAAAUUAUUAACCUGAUUUGGGUUAUGUCGGUUGGGAUUUAUCAAUGCUAUUAGUAUUUACUAUUUAGCAAGACUAUAUAUUAG